UACGAAGGGGGCUAGCGUUGCUCGGAAUCACUGGGCGUAAAGGGUGCGUAGGCGGGUCUUUAAGUCAGGGGUGAAAUCCUGGAGCUCAACUCCAGAACUGCCUUUGAUACUGAAGAUCUUGAGUUCGGGAGAGGUGAGUGGAACUGCGAGUGUAGAGGUGAAAUUCGUAGAUAUUCGCAAGAACACCAGUGGCGAAAGCGGCUUCCUGGACCAGCACCGACGUUCAGGCACGAAAGCGUGGGGAGCAAACAGG
rnacentral:rRNA from 1 species